UACGAGGGGUCCAAGCGUUGUUCGGAAUUACUGGGCGUAAAGCGGGUGUAGGCGGCCAUGAAAGUCGGAUGUGAAAGCCCAGGGCUUAACCCUGGAAGUGCAUCCGAUACUCCAUGGCUUGAGUACUGGAGAGGGAAGCGGAAUUCCUGGUGUAGCGGUGAAAUGCGUAGAUAUCAGGAGGAACAUCGGUGGCGAAGGCGGCUUCCUGGCUAUGUACUGACGCUCAGACCCGAAAGCGUGGGUAGCAAACAGG
rnacentral:rRNA from 1 species